UCCCAGCCCUGCAAUUGGUAGCAGACAGAAAGAACAAAUAGCUGAAUAAAUAUCCCAGCCAGGCGGUUUACGGGGGUUCGAGUCCCCCGCUGGGAG
rnacentral:tRNA from 1 species